ACAGUAUAUAUAUAACGGGCCACCCGUGCCAUCUGCCUUUAAUUCGAAAAGGUUUUAGCUCAGCGAAGAGCAUCCGACAUUCUUUUCAGAACGUUGCACACUGCCGUCUAGGUAACAUCAACUCAGCCUUUUUAACUCACCACCCAUCUCGGCAGUUCCGGUGGCUAAGAUGUCGUCAAAGAACGUCGGCCUGGGAGGUUUGGGGUUCACAUCAUCUGGCGUGGCCAAGGGCUCGCCCGCAGCCUCCAUGAUGUCCUCACACGGCAACGUGAAGUCCGGCUCAGCAGUGGCCGCCAUGCAGAGCUGUGGGGCCAAGGGCGGCCCGUCCUCGGUGUCUUGUACCACUCGCCCAGGCGGGGGAGGCGCCAGCCAGUCAAUCAAGUGCUCCAAGAAGUAAGCCAGAUGGGGUCAGGGCUGUCGAAGGAGCAGGCUUGCAGUAACAAGGGAAAUUUGGAAUGGCGAGCAUGACCUGGAAAAACCCGGCCGCCAGGGGCUGUUGUGAUGUAUUCAAACCUGUUAUUCAAAACUUUUACUUUUCUUGUGAUGUUCAGCGCAAAUUAGUAAAACAAAAUCUUGGAAUAGUUUAUGGGUGUAGACAGCUUUAAUUAAUGCGCCCUGCUUGUGAACUAUAAAAGUACUUAAACAGUUUACCUCUUCUUAUUCUGAUUAAUUGUACAAUAAGAAACCGUUUUGCCAUUUUCAAAACAAAAAAAAUAAAUAAAGAAAAUUACGGCCCCACUUCCUGUAGGAUAUAUAUAUUUUAUGAUAUAAUUUGAAAAGGUCUGCAAAAUUACACACCUAUGAUGGAUUAAAAAAAAGUGAUGAUCAAAUUGGACAGAAGCGAAACAUUUUACCCAUUAAGUAAGCAAAUGAUGUCACAUUUUAAAAUUUAGCUACCCUUGUAAUUAAAAAGAUUACGAGGUUAAAAUUUUUCUUAAAGCAACAAUGGUGAUUGGUUGAUCAGUUACACAGAUUAUUUUUGGUGGCAUCAUAUAAAUACGUCCUUCAGUAUGAUUAUACACGAUGGUGGCUUAAAGAGGACAAAAUGAAGUUGAUAAAUCAUUUUGGUGAUAUUAAAGGGCAUUUGGGGGAUCUUUCCUGAUUAAAUUCUGUUAAAUUUGCAAUAUGUGGUUGCCAGUCGUCACAAAAUAAAUACGUUGUGAAUACUUUACCACAUGUUCAUUU